rnacentral:rRNA from 1 species
UAGUAUAGGUAAGGACGAUGGCCAUGAAAGUCGGAACCAGCUAUAAAGUAUGUAACAACUCCCCUGCCGAAGCAACUAGUCCUGAAAAUGGAUGGUGCUCUA